UAGGAUAUUGCUGCUCUAAAUGAGGAGAAAAAUCAUGGAUCAAAUUUUGAACAAAAUAUGAAUCGAUGAAUGACUAAGAGUCUAAUUUAAUCUAAUUUUGGAUAAAGAUAAACGUUUGCGGAACUAGAUCGCAGAAAUGCCGUGCUCCAAACGUCGGGGUAGCCAUACAUGAUGAACGCGGAGGAGGCAAACGGUGUCCGCAAGAACAAGUUUGAGAACAAGAAGAAGGGUCGCGAAGGCGCACGGCUGCGAGGACAUUCGUCGACGUCGCCGUCCAUCGUGGAUCCGCCGUGGAUGAACCUGCGAUCGCGGCCCAAUUAAAAGAAAAAAAAGAAGGAAGAUCGGACCGAUUACCCUCAAAGAGGGACGCAAGAAUAAAGCGAAGGACGCCAAAGAGCGGGACCGGGAGACCGGCACGGAACCGGCGAGGAGUUGUAACGCGAGAACGAGAGAUCGGCACGGGCG